CCGGACGCCUCUGGCAGGACUAACCUUGUGGCUUUUAUGUCCAACGUGCUGUGCUGUGUGUGCCUGCAGUAUCUUGUCCAAGACAAAGCUACCUUUCCUCGUGGGAAUGGACUGGGCGGGCUUUGACAAUCUGGCCCCUCGAAAGUCUUAAGUGACCUCUUCCAACAGGGGAAGACUGAAGCAAGCGGUGCCAGAAAGAACUGGAGUUUCUGGAGAAUAAAAGCUGGAAGCGUGCCCCCGAAAAUCCCCCCGGGUGGUCAGUGGUCUGACUUGCACGGACCGGUGGCCUUGGCCAGGAGCGGUCCUGCGGGAAGUGCCUUUGCCCAGCCUGUAAUUUUAAUUUCCAUUGGAUGCUUGGCAAAGCCCCCCAGUGCCUGGCAGGAGCAGAGCGGGCUUCCAGGGAGGUAUUCACCUGGUCAGCGUCAGGAACCAUCCUAACUGAGGCCUCGGCUCCCUCUUUCCCUUCGGUUGCCGUGUGUGUGCCAGACACCUCUGGCAGGACUAACCCUGUGGCUUUUAUGUCCAAUGUGCUGUGCUGUGUGCCUGCAGAAUUGCCACGAGAGGAAAUACUUCAGAGGGGCUUCCCUCCAGCUAAGCCCUGAAUAUGCCAGGAGGUUUCAGCCGGGAGGAAAGGAGCUGUGGAAGAAAAGCAGCCUAAAAAUAGCCAGCGGGGAUCAUCAGGUUUUCCAGGCAAGAAGAACAAGGAGAGAGAUGAGGGAAUCGGGUUCCAAUUCCUAAUGAUUUGGUGGGUGCAGGAAUGAUUUGUGUGUGUUUUCCAGUCCCUUUUGAUUCCUGAGAUGAUUUUAAAAUGAUGGCUUUAGCAAUCAACUAAAUCGGGGAUGUUGUUUUUGAGAGGAAAUGAUGCCAAAUAAAUGCAGAGUUUUGGGUCA